GCCUUCGUGGAUCAAGGCAGAUCACUUCUGGUCGUUGUUGCGAUUAAUCGUACAUCUAUUCCGAAGAUACGUGGGUUCGAUUCCCACCGAAGGCG